AAGGUGAAAGGUUAAACGAGAUUGAAUUUUAUAUCCUAGACUGUAAUACCCAGCAUGGAUAUUAAAGCACAAAAAAAAAGAAUGAAGAAGACUCCCAUAGGGAGUCUUCUCCUUCCUCCCGAUUGGCUCCUAAUCAGAGUCGAAAUCCAUCUUGGGAAAGAGUGAAACUUCUCUCCACCAGUCCUAUUUAAAGGGAAGAAGUCUUCCCUCUUCCCCCACCAA
rnacentral:lncRNA from 1 species